rnacentral:rRNA from 1 species
CCUACGGGAGACUGCAGUGAGGAAUAUUGGUCAAUGGGCGAGAGCCUGAACCAGCCAAGUCGCGUGAAGGAUGACGGCCCUACGGGUUGUAAACUUCUUUUGUCAGGGAGCAAUUGGGUCCACGCGUGGGCUUAGCGAGAGUACCUGAAGAAAAAGCAUCGGCUAACUCCGUGCCAGCAGCCGCGGUAAUACGGAGGAUGCGAGCGUUAUCCGGAUUUAUGGGGUUUAAAGGGUGCGUAGGCGGAAUAUCAAGUCAGCGGUAAAAAUUCGGGGCUCAACCCCGUCGUGCCGUUGAAACUGAUGUUCUUGAGUGGGCGAGAGGUAUGCGGAAUGCGUGGUGUAGCGGUGAAAUGCAUAGAUAUCACGCAGAACUUCGAUUGCGAAGGCAGCAUACCGGCGCCCAACUGACGCUGAAGCACGAAAGCGUGGGUAUCGAACAGGAUUAGAUACCCUGGUAGUC